UACGGAGGGUGCAAACGUUGCUCGGAAUCAUUGGGCGUAAAGCGCACGUAGGCGGCCUGUUAAGUCGGGUGUGAAAGCCCUGGGCUCAACCCCAGGAAGUGCACUCGAAACUGGCGGGCUUGAAUAUGGAAGAGGGUCGCGGAAUUCCCGGUGUAGAGGUGAAAUUCGUAGAUAUCGGGAGGAACACCAGUGGCGAAGGCGGCGACCUGGGCCAAUAUUGACGCUGAGGUGCGAAAGCGUGGGGAGCAAACAGG
rnacentral:rRNA from 1 species